AACCUGCCMCUGAGAGUUAAAUGGCCGCGGUAUAUUGACCGUGCAAAGGUAGCAUAAUCAUUAGUUUUUUAAUUGAAAGCUUGUAUGAAAGGUUUGAUGAGAAAAUUUCUGUCUCUAGAAAAAUUUAUUAGAAUUUUAUUUUUAAGUCAAAAAGCUUAAAUUUAUAUUGUAGACGAGAAGACCCUGUAGAGUUUUAUAUUAAAUUUCACCCUAAGACUUAGGUAUUUAUGUUUUGGUUUGGGAUUUUAUUAUUUUGUUGGGGUGACUGGAAAACUAGAUCAACUUUUUUUUAAUUAUAAUAUUUAUUUGUAAAUUUAUGAUCCUUUAUAUAAGAUUAGAAGAUUAAAUUACCUCAGGGAUAACAGCGUAAUUUUUUUAAAAGUUCAUAUUUAAAAGAAAGAUUGCGACCUCGAUGUUGGAUUAAAAUUUAUUAUUGGUGCAGAAGCUAAUAAAAUGGGUCUGUUCGACCCUUAAAAUUUUACAUGAUCUGAGUUUAAACCGGUGUGAG
rnacentral:rRNA from 1 species